CUUGUGAAUCUCCUCGUUGGAAUUGAAAUCACCUCUCCUCACUGAAUCGCCGUUCGGUAAUCAAUCCGUAAACCCUAAUCAUUGUUUGAUUCUGGAUUUUUUUUGUAUCAGGCAGAAGACGGAGAUUCAUGGCUAAUAAUCAUAUCAUGCUCUACUUAGCAUCUGUUAUCUUGCUUCUAGGGAUUAUCAGUUCAUCCUUCAACAUGCAGAUGUAUCCGCAAGGAAGGAUGUCUCAUCAUUUCAGGGAGAUGUGUGUUGGAGACCAUCUUGCUGUUAAGGGACCAAAGUUUGAGUGGGCGUGGCAGCAUCCGAGAGCGUGCAGUACGAGAAGCUGCUGCUGCUUUCAAGUCCUUCUCUGGACUUGCACGCAAGAUCAAGCUUGCAUACACAAUGCUAACUCUUCCAGCUUGGAAUAGCUUGAACCUGACAGUCAACUAUUUCUCAUCAAAGUAUGCGCACCACAGCGGUGUUUCUCCAAGUUUGCCUCCCCACAUGAAAGUCCAAGUCUGUGCUAAAGGAGACAACGAUUCUCAACCCGAAGAUGAAGAGAGUCUUGAUAGUAAUGAAGAAGAGGAUGAUAAUAAUACCCAAAGCCAGCCUAGGAAUCCAACUACAAGCUCAUUGGAUGGCUUUCUACUUA